CUGAAAUGAAAGUGAACUAUGCUCUGUACAAAUGUAUCAUGUUUAAUUCAGGAGAAAUUCAUGCAUUUCUUUGUUCUAUAAAUAUUUACUGGCAGCUCGUUUUGUAUAGGAGGCUGCCACCUCCCAAAAGCCCCCUGCUCCUCGAGUGGGUUGAGCCUGAAACCCCACAUCCACAGACGUGCCCAGCGGCCUUGGGUGCUCAACACAGGCUCGUUCAGAAUAACAGAGUACACCAGUCAUCAUAAGAAGAAAAAUUCACAUUUAAAGUUUGGAAAGCAACAGGACAAAGGUCUGUCUUCAGUGGUGCGUAGACAUGCUCGUGAUUGAAUUGGAAAUAGUUCUCUUUCCUUCUCUCUGACUUCCUAACUGAAAAGCUGCAGCGUGGGGAGAAAGGCUGCUCAGAAGCCUGGAGCCAGAACACGCACCCCGGCUUUUGCAGGGCCGGCUCACUUGGUUAGAAUCAAAGGAAAAGCCUUGUUAUUUGGGAAGCUGGGCGUCCUCACCAAAUUAGGGGAUUUAAUUUGCAGAUAUCUAAGGAGUGCUUUGAAAUGAAAGAUGAACUAAAAUCUGCUCUGAGGCCCGUGAUUUUUCACCAGUGAAGGACUCUCUUGCUGCUGGACAUACAUGAAAAGCAUCAUCUGAUCUGAAACGCAAGUCCCUGCAAGACAGAGGAGAGACUUUAUAAACAUUUUAUACCAUUCUAUGAAAUCAAUUCGAUUCAGGGCUAGAAUUCAAGAAGUAAUCCAUGGGCAAGUAUAUCUGAUGGUAAACCCAAACGAUUAUAUUGUUAACCUCUUGUACUUUUUUUAAUUUUUUAUUAUUUGAUAUUAUUAUCACAAAAGUCG
rnacentral:lncRNA from 1 species